rnacentral:ncRNA from 1 species
CUUAUCGAGAGUGGCGGAGGGACCGGCCCUAUGAAGCCCGACAACCUGCGAAUGCAAGGUGCCAAUUCCGGCGAGUGAUCGACAGAUGAG